UUCCGGUUGAUCCUGCCGGACCUGACUGCUAUCGGAUUGAUACUAAGCCAUGCGAGUCUUUGUAGUAAUACAAGGCAGACGGCUCAGUAACGCGUAGUCAACCUACCCUAUGGACGGGAAUAAUCUCGGGAAACUGAGCAUAAUACCCGGCGUACCAUCAUUCCUGGAAUGGUUGGUGGUUAAAAUGAUUCGUCGCCGUAAGAUGGGACUGCGACCUAUCAGCUUGUUGGUGGGGUAAAGGCCCACCAAGGCGAUUACAGGUACGGGCUCUGAGAGGAGAAGCCUGGAGAUGGGUAC
rnacentral:rRNA from 1 species